AGCUUCGGGGCAAGGGGCGCUCAUUCCAAAGACCCACGACGGCGGCGAAAGAACCCGACCAAGCCCCACCCCUCCCGCCCGCCGGUCAAACUCACUCCCGCGAGUGAAUAUGCCCAACUCGACUGGAUUCGUGACGGGUUGCCUGCCUUACGCUCAGCGCAACGCAGCGCAGAGCCACAGUGCUGCACCUCCACCCCAGACAUGCGACGGCCCCCGCCGGGACGGCAAUCCCAGUGCGAGGGCCUGACCACCGAGGAAGGCCACUUCCCG
rnacentral:ncRNA from 1 species